CUGUAAUUACAACUAGGCACUUGUAUUAUUCCAACUACAUAGGCCCUUUGUGCAUGCACAGAAGUGAAACAGAUUUCCAAGCUGAAUUUUGUUUUUUUUUAAAUGAUACUCUGAGAUUUCAUUAAUUUUGCUUGUGUUGUGCAAAGUUUAUAAACAGGCACAAUAGAAAGAAGCUUAAUGUGAUGAGAAAUAUAUCGUAGACUAUGGGGAUUAAGUCUGAGGAGAUUAUAGGGCCAGCUAUUCUGUUCCCAAAAUAAAAACUCAGUGCCAUGGGUGUUUGUAUAGACUCAUCAUGUUGUUCCAAUUAAACCUCAAUUGCUGUUCCCUCUGGCUGCUCUUGCUAUCCAUGGUUCUGGUCAGCACAGGUGUUUGGCAGUAAAAGAUGUCAAUGAAUUGAAAUUGUUGCUAAUAUUCAAAUUACCUGUUUUCAUUUCAGCUUCUGACAACCCCCAGGAACAAAAUGAAUGCCUGCUUGCCAGCUGGAGGGCGAGCAUCCAAAAAGGAAAAAGUGCUCCUUUUCAGCUCCUACAAGGGUAUUGUGAUCAACAGAAGUAAAGAAAUGUAAUCCCAUUGCUUGGUACGGUUUUCUGAAGGAAGCAAGAGCUGUGGAGGCUGUGGAAAUCUGAAUGGUUUUCCAUGAUAUUCUAAUGGGAACUGAACACAUGGCUCUACCCUAAUGACCAGCCUGCUCUCAGUAGGAGUGGGAGAUCAGGUGAGAUCUCACCUUUGGCCAUUACCAAUUGCUUCAAGGAGAACUUCAAUGUUAUAAAGCAAUGACUGCAGCCAAGAUGAUGAGGCUGUUGAUGUCAACCGAGCAGGUAACAGCCCAGCCUGGAUUAAAUAUGAAUCACCCAGAGAGAUCAGAGCAGACAAAACAAGUGGAUCCUCCCCUGUGUGCUACCAUGGGUUCUGCUGCAUUGCAAAGCUGCUAAAUCAUUUAACAUCAUGCAGAACUCAUCCAUCCCACUGCAUCAAUCCAUUUUCUGUUGGCAAAGGUGAAAUUGCAGAUCUACCAGCCAGGGAUGCCAAUGUCUUGUGGGGUUCCCAGGUCCUGUUUCAGAACUGAGUGGUUCUGCCCUGCAUUUUGCUAUGAGAUGGAUUCAUCUCAGAGAUGGAUGUGAAAAGUUGAGGUAGCCAGCUCAUAGUGAAGGAGUCAAAGUCCAGCUCACCACAGUCCCAUUGUGGUCAGCAGUGAUGUGCACAGAGGAACCCCAGUGUACCCUUCCAGCUUCCAAUAGAGUUAAGAAAAAGAUCCCAGUAGCAUUUCAGAGUGAAAGGGAGAAGCACCAGCCUCUGGGCAUCAAUUGGAAAAGAGUGAGGAUGAAAGAUGCAUGACCCGGAGGAGAAGGAUAAAAUGUGUUCCUUUGGAUACAAAAUUGAUUGAAAACCUACUGCUGUGAAUAAAACAGAGCUGUUCUUCUCAUAUGACAGACAGCUCCUGUUGUUUGGAGCCUGAGCUUGUGUUUCGCUGCAGCAGACGUGGCUGGAAGCACCAGGAUGGUACCAAACCUGGGACAUCUUGGCUCAGCAACCAGAUGAGCUUUUGGAGAUGUGCAUGGCAGAUCUCCCUUGGAGAGCACUCCUGGAGGUGAGGGACUGGGUGUGCAGGAUCUCCCAUCAGGCCAGAGGCCAUAAAGAUUUCCAUUUGAGACAGCUCUCAUCCUGAUAGAAUGGCCAACAACCCUCACCUCACGGUACCCCAAUUUGCCAUAGUCUUCUAACACUUUACCUCACUGCUUUUGUUCUGCUGCUGCCCCGUAUCCAAGACACGUUGCUGUUCCUAUGUGCCAGCUGAAACAGCUCUUUGAUGCUGGUGUUUGGUUUGUUUAGGAUGCUCCCAGCUGACCCUGCAAUCUGGACUGGGGGAGCUGCUGCCUACACCCUCUGUCUCUGCUGGGAAGGCCAAACGGGGAAUUUUCUCAUACCCUGAUGAAAUCUCAUCUGCAACCCCCAGGCCAGAGCUAAUUGUGUAAAAGAGAACAAUAUUUAGGACAGAGCUACAGCUAGUUUCUUAAUCUCUCAGAGAAGGAGAUUUGCCCAAUUUGAGCUAUUCUCUCUAACUACUACUUCUGCCCUGAUUAUAGAAAUGGAGUGGGUGGUAAGACUCACCAUCCACAGGCAGCAGAGUUGAGAAAUCUGCGGAAAGAUGGAAAAAUAAUAAUCCAACAGACUAGACAAGCUCCAAACACAGCAUUGCCUGUCCUCCUGUAUGCACACUGCCUGUGCAGGGCCAGAGCCAGACUUGCCCACACAGAGCAAGAGAGAGUCAGGGGAGAAAUUACAGCCUCACUGGAGCAAAAAGGGACUUUUGUGUGAAAUUCUGUGUGGUCAGGGUUUUAUCAGGAGUCUAAAAGGAGUCUCAGCAGCAGAACUUGCAGUGCUGCUGAAUUAACGUGUGGCAUAUUCACAUGCAUACACUGCUGAGGUCAGAUCCCAUCAGGAGGGAUGUGGUAAAAAUUGCUGACGGAGGUUUCUGAAGAGGGAGUGCCUGGUUUUACAGCUGGGAAAGAGGAGUGAGAAGAAUUCAGGAACACUGGCUUGGGGAGAUGAUUUCUGGCCUUGAUCACCCAAUUUAUUUUGUUUUAUUUUGUUUAUAAUUUCUUUACGUUCGGUAUCAUUCCUCAUGCUUUUGUUACAGUGCUCAAGAAGAGCUCCACUGAGGGGAAACUCCUGUGGACAUCCACAGGUGGUUAAUUUUGAUUUGAUAAUACUUAAUGUCUUUGUUUAUGUCCUGAAAGAAAAUACUGAAUUGCUGUAUGUGGAGCUUGCAUAGGGCACAGAAGCUCCAUAGAGUCAUAACAGCAAGGAGGACGCAGAAAUGCUGCACAUCCCAAUGAAUUGCCAGGUAGGCUACUCAUAACUUAAUAGCUUUGCAAAUACUUGCAUAGACCAAAGUUCACUUGAAUGCUGUUAAAGGCAAUGUGGGAGGAAAACCCACAACUUAAUGUGAGUCUUUCAUCAUCCAUAUGGAGAGGUCAGAGGUUACAGUGAAAUAAGGUAUAGAAACAACAUUUUAGACACACUGAAUGAGAACUUCUUGAAGCAAAUGCUCAGAGACCCCAUCAGAAAAGAACAGAUUCUUUAUUUAAUCCUCAGAAUUGAAAAGAUGUUGUUCCAGAUGUUCGCUUACAGAAGAGUAACUCUGUAAUGAUGUUCAUUAUACACUUGUAUUUGUGCAGCUUUGUGGAAGUGAGAAAGUCACAGGUGAGAAAUCCAUUUAAUAAAGACUCCCUUUAAGAGGGCACGAAGAGAUGACAAAAAUGAGAAAUCUUGCUAAAAAUAAAGGUAAGGGAGCAGCAGAAAGGGUGAGAUAUCUUUGGGUGCCAUAAACCCAUUUAGAGAUACAGUAUGAGAAGCAUGUAGCAAGGGCAUACCAUCCACUGAAAUAGACAUAGCAGCCCUAAAAUAGGGAAUGCCAGCAGAACAACAGAGUAAAGGGAUCUGUUUCAGUCAAACAGAAAUUGUUUAAAAAGCAUAAGUCAUUUUUAAAAACAGGAUGAACAUGGGCAGUGUAGCUCUUUUAACUUAAAUACGAAGCGAUAAGUUUGCAAGUUGGAUUAUCUUCUAAGAAACUACAUGCUGGAGAAAUAAAGCUUGAAAUACAAUCUCUUUUUUUCCAAUACAUCAGAAGGAGGCCUGCUAGAAAACUGCGAGAUGAUGGAGGUUUAAAAGUACAGGAUCUGAGAAGAGAGGAAAAAUGAUUUCUUUGCUUAUUAUUGAGAGCUCAGGGAAGUCUUCCUUUACAGAGGGUGUCUGACCAGCCAUCAGAACUUAAGGAACAGGCUCUUAAAGAAAUGGUACAACAAACAGUAGGAAAUGAGCAGGAACAGAUGGCGCUCACCCAAGAGAUUUAAAGGAAUUCAAUAUGAAAUUGCUGAUCUACUUGUUGUGUUGUGCAAAGCAUCGCUUAAAUCAAUCCCAGUGUUACAGCAAUGUAAGGCAACAAAUGAGGAACAAGCUUUUAAAGGAAGCUCUGGAGCAUCUGGAGGAAUACAGACAUGAUCAUGGACUGGAAAAACCAGUCAAAAAGAGAAGUGAAAUAGAUAUGAAGUAUAGUCUCUCUCUAAAAAUAUGAGAGUUCUUUGAAGGAGGUGAUAGGUACGUAGUCAAUAAACCCAACUGAUGCAUUUGUAUUUCCAAAAAACUUUCAGUGAGGUCCCUCUAGUAACAACCCUUUAGGAAACAAAGCUGCCCUGAGGAAGUGGGAGGCAUCUUCAUAGUUAGUCAGUGGUUGAGACAGAGGUAAAAGUAAAUGAUGAGUUCUUACAAUGAAGAUAAAACACUAGUAGGAUUUUGGGGCUUUGCUUCCUACACCUUUCUACUUUUUCAAUUGAGAAUCUUUUACUUUUUCAUCAGCGCUGGUUGCCAAGCUCACAAAAUUUGCUGAGGAGCAACAAGAACGAAGCCUUUACAACAGCCAAAUCUGAAUGUGCCCAUGAAAGCUGAGGGAAGAGCUCAGAGUUCUGAAUGAUUCAGUGGUAGAAUAGAAGAGGAGGUUCAUGGUCAAUAAACGCUGAGUUAUAAACAGAGAUGAAAACAGCCCUGACUAUACACGCACAGUCACAGGGUGUGAAUGAAAUAGAUCUCGUAUUGUAGAAAGUACCAUGGAAAUGCCUGCUCAUGCCCUCAGCAUUUCCAAAGCCAGCAUACAGGCAAUUCCUGCCAUAGACUCCUUGCUGGGAGCUGACUACAAGGGUGUGGAUGUCACCCUAUGUUCACAAAUUCUCUAGACUGUGUUUUACUGAAAGCUGGAGGACGUACUGAGGGAAAUGCUACCUUGAGCUUGCCUGGAGCAAAGCAGAGCAGUCAAGCAUUACAGCUUCUCCUGGUCACCUCUCCACAUACUUAUGAUGCUCUUGUGGUUGAAGUUGGUGUUAUUUCUAUGAAAGUUAUUCUGCAAGGAAGUUGUUUUAGGGCACAGCAAGACGUGACAGAAGUCCUCCGAACACCGUUCUUUUUAUGAAGGGAAAUAACUAGGAGCUGGAUAAACAAUUCAUAUUGUUCCUCAUUAGUUCACACUAAUCAGUAGAGUGUCUCAAAUAAGCAUUUAAUUAAGAAUUAAUGUGGCGGCUGUUAUAAAAUGAAAUAUUAAUUGGAAAAGGAAAAUUUCAGGUUUGUUUAGGUGAAAGAAUUCUGCCCACCGCACGCUUAACUUGAUUACACAAGUGCUUUCCAAUUCCUGAAUUGUUUAAUGUAUACAAGUCAUAAGGACCUGACAUUUAACAAGGGAACACUGGCAAAUUAAUUCCAUUCAGUGCUAAAAACGCAUCUUGACAUUUGGUGGUUGGUGUGUUAACCAGCGCUUCCUCAUCAGAGUUGCAUGUUUCGCUGUGUGCUAAUUAACUGCCCUGUUAUCCCAUUUCAAAAGAAUUAAGAAACAAUUGGGAUUUAAUGUAUUACUAAUAAGUGGACUGAUGUCAGCUGCAAGAUGUGGGCUCUGUUCCAAGAAGAAGGCAGGGCUGUCUGUCCUCUUAGCCGUGCAGAGAGCUGCAUGCAGGGUAUCUCUGCUGCCAACAGGGCACCUCCAUCCAUCUUCUCCUAAGACCCAAAGACUCACAGCACGUCUGCAUCAGGGCCAGAAUGAGGUUAACCAACCAGUUGCAGACAUGGAUGUUUCAAUCAAUGGGCAUCUCUCUGCUGCUCCGGGCUCUUCCAGUUUCAGAGCUGCCCAAGCCGAGUCAUGCUCUGUGAUGAGUUCAGUUAUCUAUAAGCUGGAUGUUUCAGGAACUGAAACUUUAAUGCAUCAGUGCUGACUGAGUGUGCCAAAUGCUUUCAGCCAAGAAGGUAGUAAAAGAGAAUUUUUUGAACAUGUCAAAACACCUCAUUUUCACGUUUUCUAGAUGGAGUGUUUUGGUUUGGAAAUGAGAAAAUGCUUCAAUUUGAUAUUCCCUAUGUGACAGCGUUCAGACUUCUUUCUUUCCAAAUGACAGGUUCUUUGUUGUUUAAAAUUGACCAACAUUUUCCCUGUUAGUCAAACCUUUUAUUUUAAGGACUCUGGAAAAAAAAUACAAAAUAAAAGGCAAAAGAUUCUCUUUUUGAUGGAAUGAAACUGUUUGGGUGAGCCCAAAACAACAUCUCAGCAUCUUUUUUUUUCCUUUGCAACCUCCUGUUUUGUUUGAUUAGAAACUGUUUCCUUUCCCUGCCCUUCUUUCUAACAGCACUUGAGAAAUGUCAUCUCAUUAUCAGGAGGCAGAUGGAAAAAUACUCACGCCCUCAGGUCUUUCGGAAAAGUGGUUCAGUACGACCACUUAUAGUAAGUCAUUCUGGAGGGCACCGAAGAAAUCCAGCUCUCCAGUCCUUGAGCUGGUGUGCCAAUGGCUUUGUACAAGGGUCAGACUGCAACACCUGCUAUGUACUGUUACUAAUCUGGGACAGAGGAGCACCUGGCUCCAGGUAAGUAGUGCUUUGGGUAGUGUUGCGUGUGCCCCCAGAAACACUUUUUCUUCCUAGGCUAUCCAACAGAUCUACGGAGCUGCGGCAUCUUUCUAGACCAGACAAAGAGCCAAACACCUCAAGAAAAAGAUGCAGAGAUCAAAAUGUUGUGGGCACAAUGCAGCAAACUCAGAACAAGAAGCAGUGCAUCAUUACAGUGUCUUGCUGAACUCAAACUGGAGCAUCCCACCCAACCAAUUCAAACUUGCGUUGAUAUCUUAAAGUCCAGUUCAGUUACAAGCCUCUGCUCAUUUGAAGCUGGCUUGAGCAUCUCCAUCUGACCAGGAUUUAGGUGCUUAUUUUCCCCACUGCCUGUGUUAUUUGUGAACUUGUCAUCACCAGAUGCCACAAGCUGACAGGUGAGUUCACAGCACAUCAGCACCUACCAACUCUUCAGGCUGCAUAGUGCAAGCCCAGGGCAUGUUAUGUGUCCAAAAUUCAGUAUGUUGCCACCAAAAGUAGAAGAAUGAUAGGUGAGAGCUAAAAAUGGUUGUUUAUCACCCAAAAGGAAGAGCUGGCAGAAAGAUGCAAACUACUGUAUACUAAUCACCUACACAAACACAUUUAUCUCACAGAAAAUGUAUUGCUUUCAUUGAAAGAACAUUGGAAUCUCAGUGGGUUCUUGCAGAGCAGCUUUGCAUGUUGGAGCUGAAACUGUGGAGCUAUGAAUGAUUUUGGGGUUCAUAACCUACCUCCCCUGGGCUAAUUACUCCCCUGCACACAUCUUCUCAGAUUUACUGUGGUUUAUCUUCUGUUUUCUGUAUCUUUUCCAGUUCUUCUGCCCAACCGUCACCUUUUCCUCAAAAUUGGAGUGACAUGCAUGGCUGUCUCUGUGCUUGCACAUGAAUCUAACUCAACUGUGAAUGCCUUUUAUGCUUUCAUACAGUUGCAGUACCUGAUCUCCCAUUCUUCCUGAUAUACCAUAGCUGUCCCCACUGUUCACUCCUUCUUGGCUACAACGUGGUUGAAUGAAAGGGAAAAGUCUCUAAUGUGCUUUCCAGCUGAUUGCUUUGAAGAGUUUAAAGUAGUGGAAGCUGGCUGUGAAGUUGUGAACUCGAUGGUUACGUGCUGCACAUCCUGGCUCACACAUGCUCAGGGAUCUACAGCAUAUUCCUUCUGGUUCAUCAGAAAGCACAGGGAGGUGUGCAGGCCAAAGAUUAAGUGAAUUCCAGUGCUCAAGAUUUGAUUUCAGUGAAACAAUAUCUUGCUUCUCUUUGCACAGAUGCCAACUGCAGUAAAUGUGGCUUAGCUGACAGUGGAGGCUUUGUAGGACUGAGAACCCAGCAGCCAUGUGACUCCUAGCCAGGGGCAACCUGGCUAGGUUGCACUGGCACAUCCUCUGCCUGUAAGUCCCUGAGUUAAGUUUGGAGGUAGGAUUCAUCUACUGGCUUCCAUUGGAGCUCAGCAGCCAGUUUCUCCAGGCAUGAUGACAUCUCGUCAGAGUGGUGCAGAUAGGAGUAAAGCAGGUCUGCACACAGUUUGGCUCACACAGCCAUGAUGUUCAACAGGACACACUCUGCCUGUAGUCUUUCACUGGCCAUUGCCCCCAAAGCAAGGGUCUGUCCUUCUGGCAGGGCUAGGAGGCCUAAGUCUGUUCCAGGGAUGUUGUGUAUGACAUUACUGUGCCAAAAGAUUAUUCAAAAAGGUCCUUGUUGAAUGAUUCUUUGAAAGGACUGGAGAUGGGGGAGAUCAUAGAAUCAUUAAGGUUAGAAAAGACCCCUAAGGUCAUCUAGUCCUACUGUGGUGCUGUCCAACAAGAAAUCACAGCACUGUACAGUAUCUUGAGUUGGAAGGAACACACAGGAACCAUAUGAGACUACCCAAAAUUUAUAACAUAUGUCUGAGAGUUGAAAUGCUUCAGAUCUUGCUGUUUCCCAUUUAGGAAGAAGCUCAAAACACAGGGGAGCUGCAGCAUGUCCUCCACUUGUCCCCUGGCAUGGCUAUGACUAUGGCAACCCAGCAUGGCACAGGGAUCAGCCUCCAAAAGAUAUCACAGGGAUGCGCAGGUGCUGGAAAAGCUGUGUUUCCUAAAGAAGAAGAAGAGUUCCAAACAGGACCUCACCUACAGUGAGAGUUGAUUUUGAAAGAGAAGCGUUCACUCAAGCAACUGGCAAAAAUCCCUAUACUUAUACCACAGCAAAAAAACCCCUCUCUUCUCUCUGUCACUUGCCUCUGCAAUGCUGGUACUUUAGGAACAGUUUGCUCAUCCUUUUUGCCUUAGCCUGCCAACAGCAUGAGGAAAGUCAGACAACCACCUUGUCACCUCCCACGUAAUUAUCUUCUACACGAGAGAAGAGCCAAUCGCUUGCUCCCAUCUUCACCUUUGUGAUGCUCCCUCUGAGCACAGAGCCUGGAUUGAUGGAUUUUCAUUUUAUGUUCAUGAAAACACCUUCUCCAGAGGAAUGGCUGUACCCAUAGGUAAAAACUAUUCGAGGGCAAAAGCUGUGCAAACAAUCUCACUUGUACAAGGAAGAAGCACACCAAAGAUCAGCUACUGUCCCACAUCUCAAUGUGGGAAAUGUCAGCAUAUUCAGCUGUGGUAAAUAUGCAUGAUGGCAGUAAAGAAUGUGCAAGAAAAUACUAUUCCAAGCCAAUAAAAAGAUACGGAGGCUACAAUAAACUUCUAAUUUUUGUAACUUUGAACAUAUCUGUACCAGUUGGCAUCAUGGUCACGCUGAAGUAAAUCUUAUGCAACACGGAGCAUUGCUUACAAACACCAUUAACAGUUCUCACCAAAAAUCCUCACAAAACUUUGGCAGAAAGCAUUAAGAAACAGAUUAUGAUUGCCCUCAUCAUCUCUUAUUUCAGAUAGGAAAGUGGCUACACUGAGUCUUAACAAGGAGAAGUGUAUUUGAACUCUGGUGCAACUAAGUAUGCCACUUUCUCUGCAGCUUUUUCAUAGUCAGUAAUUGGAGUGGGUCAAAUUAUUUGUGAAGAACAACAUGUUGGUUUAUUUGUACCUGCCUCCCCGUUACUGAAUAACUCUUAAGGAGACAGCAAAGAUGUCUGAAGGGUUUAUAGCGAUCUUCACCCACCUGAGAGAGCACGUCUGUACUUGUCUAAAGAUGGAACCAGAGGACAUCGGAGGUGGCAGAGUGGAGAUAAGGAUACUGUAAUAGCAUGUUGUCUGCGCCAUGCUUAGGUCCAUGGAAACACAGGAAGAGAGGACAGAUGAAGGGCAGGAGAAAACACCAUCCAUCAUUGUUUUUAUUUUGCCUAUUGUUAUUUACCUUAGUACAUAGUGGAUUCCCAUAGUUUCAUUUCUUCUCUGCUUGCUUCUCACCCAGAACAGUUUGCUGUUUGACAUGACAGUCAUCUAAGGAAAUGGGUUUCCUUUUAUUCACAGCCACAGAUUUAAACAAUUGUUCAGAAUUAACAUGACUCAUUCUUUCUCAUUUGUGUCUUGCUUUUGUUCACCAAAGGCUCUCAGUCUGCCCAUCUUCUGUCCCUGUUAAUUCCCUUCAAAUCCUAUCGAUAUCCUUCUUGGGUAUUAAGAGAGAUCUGCUGCUGCAUGCAUGAACCUGAACUCCUCAUCCUGCUGCAGGGGGAACAUGAAUGAUGCAGGAUUUCCCAUCCCCUAACCCAUCGCCAGCAAAAAGGUGCAGUUUGACCCUGGCUGUCCAUACAGUUCCUUCAAGUUGUGCAUGGAAGAGUAGUAUGAAUUUAUAACAAACUGGGAUUUCCUUUUUUUAUCCCUCUGUGAACGACCAGUAGCUGAUUCUUUUAACACGGGUCCCACUGUUCUGCCUCACCCUCCCUGUGCCAUCCUAUCCAGCUGCAACAACCCCUAGCAGAGAAGCAAAGCAUCCUCAGUAUGCCAGAAGUUCAUUAAAGCGAACAUCAAUUUUGUAAAGGCCUUUGUGGUCAUGUCUUACAAGCUCACGGUUCAGGUGCCUUCGAAUUCAAAUGCAUCACCUUCAUCUGCUGCCAUUUAACAUCAUCUUUAGCUGCUAUGGGGUAGAGAAGCUCUAUGCUGUGUGGCAGCCUCUUCCAUCAUCUCUCACGGCAGCUAUUUAAUACUUCUGCUUGUUUUACUCCAUCAUUGCAGAUUUCAUCACUGCUAUCUGCUAAAUGCUUUGGUGGACUGCCAGACCUACUUUUGGUCUGGGUACAUUUUUUAAUCUUUCUUGGGUGUUGGUUUUUUUUUUUUGGUGUUUCUUUUUGUUGUUGUUGUUGUUGUUAGUAGCUACUGCUGUAUUAGAACUAUCUUUAGCUUUCCUUAGCUAUGGCAAAGUCCCAGUAUUUAUUCAUCAUUGUUAACCUCAGCUCUAUUCUUUCUAUUUGAUAGCGGAGCAUUAGUAAUGGCAGUAAUAUCACUUAUCAGCAUUACGUUUUGCUUUUCAUCCCCCAGCUUUUCUCACGGGUUUUGCAGUGUUCAGGCUGGUACACAGGGCUUUAUCCCAUGACUCACAGUGCACAUUAAAUGAGGGGUGAUGGCUGAAGUCCUCAAUUUUUCUGACUUUCAAAGGUCAGAGAGGAUUUUGAGAUAACUCUGAACUUUACUUAUGCUGUUCUGAGUGACCAAAGGCUUCUCUGAGGACUUAAUUCUGCCUUAGACAAUGUUUUAUUUGGAGAUAUCAUUUUCCUUUGGUGUUUUCUUUUCCUAAGUGACCUAAAAUUGGUAAGACUAUUCUUUUCUUUGCUCCUGGUAGCAUUUUACACUGUUGAACAGUCUUGGAGAAACAUAAACAAACAAACAAAACCCUGUUUAAAUCAUGAAGGUAAACCUUAUUAACCUAUAUAGGGAGGAACCACUCACUGCAGGGAUAAGGCAACUGCCCUAGUUUAGGUGCUACUAUCAGAGCAAAAGUUAAACCUGCUGCAAACCACAGAGGAUUUCACAUGUGCAUGGGUGGUGGUAAGGAGGACAGAGGUGGGGUGGGAUGAAAGGAAGGACUGGCUGCUGGGCGGGUGCUGAAGGAAUCAUAAAGUCAUUAUGGUUGGAAAAGACCACUAAGAUUGACAAGCUCAACCUCAGCCCACCCCUACCAUGUGUAAUGACCGUGUCCCUCAGGGCCACAUCACCUCAUUCUCUAAACACCCUCAGGGACAGUGACUCUACCACCUCCCUGGGCAGCCUGUGCCAGUGCCACAAGGAAGGGCUGCCUCAGCCCCCAGCCCUGAGCCUGUGGUACCCAGAGAGAGCAUCCAUGUGCACGUGAGUCCUUCCCUCUGCCCCUGCAGGGCUCCAUAUCUCCAAGAAGAUGCCUGCAGAAGGGAAGCCCCUCUCCUGCUAUCUGCAUGCAGAGCGUUUCCAGGAUCUGGGCCAGAGCUUGUAGUUUCCAUAGCAAGCUUAUUUGAAUCACAGCAUUCAUGAGGAAAGAUAAAAUUGUUUCCAACAGCAGCUACAUCGAUCUUAUGUGCCCCCAAAUGUCACACACACUGUGCCUGCUUACCAUCAAAAUUCCCAUCCAAUGCCUUUUUCAGAGAAGGAUAUCACCCAGUACCUUUCAAAUGGAUACACUCAACCAAGUGCAUGGUCCUAAUCUUUUUUUAUUUUCCAGGCUUUUUUUUCCCCCUUCCUAUGGUGAGUUUGUCAAACAACCUCACACACAGAGAUUUUAUGAUGGAAUUGUACCACGAAGCCUCUUCGAUACAUAUUCAUAGUGGAUUCUUGGCUUAUCUCUGAGCAACAUUCACACAUGCUGCUCGCUCGAGCUGUUGUUUUUUAAAGUGCUUAACAUAUAAAAGUUUAAUCACAAAGUUGCUUCAUGUUUGUUUCUAGCAAAAUGCAUUAUUAUUGCUCAACAAAGUUCACUAAAGGUUUUUCUGUAUACCGUGCUGAUAUGCACUGAGUUUAGACUAAAUGGACUGAAAUGCAGCACUUCUGCUUACCAUGGUUUUCCAAGGUCAUAUUUUAGGUUAAAAGCUACUGAUAGGACAAUAACAUUGCAUGAACCAGGGGAAUGGUGCCCAAAUCCGGGCAUCGUGCUAGAGAUGCGGCCUUCUCAAUAAUAACAACCAGAAUAUGAGGCUCAGUAUGAAUGGACCAUAAGUCCAAAGAACAGAUUGACCAAGAAAUAAGCUCUUGAGAAGCAAAGAAGGGAAAAAAUAACAGCAAAAAUAUGUGUCUUCCUGAUGGGCAUUUUCUAAUUUGAGCCUUCCUUGUGUCCAUGCAGGCUGUGACAGCAAAUCGCUGCUCAGUACGCUGGGCGGAUGGGAAUAUUUGCCUUCACAGUUAUUCAUCAGCGCCCUUCCUCCAAGGCACCAGGCAGCCUCUUACAUAUUCAGACCUCUUUUUGUAUUUCCAGGGAAAUACAGCAGCCUGGUGGCUGUUGCUAGAACUGCUGCGGUAGCCCGAGGGCAGAUGUGAGCAGCAGGAGGAGGCUACAGGAGGCAGGAGGGGAUGGAGCAGGUGGAUGCAAGCGCAGCACUGUGAGGGAUGCAGCAGCAGCAGGCAAGAGAUGUAUCCUAGGGAUGCUUCAUGUGGGGAGGGGAUUUAUAGCUGCAUUACACGAAAGCAAGAUUAUAGAGGGUGUCUUGUCCUGAGAAGGGCUCCCAGUGCAUCCUCUGGAGAUGCCCAAAAUAUCUUUGCACCUUCCAAAGGAGAGGCUGUUGCUGCAGAUUGCUGACACAGGGAAACAUGAUUUCACUUCAUUGUAGGCAGCGGGGAUGUGAUUAGAAGGAGGCAAACUCAGUCAGGCCACCGAAAAAAACAAAGGCAGGAGAGAAUUAUAUAUGCUGCAGUGGUUGGGAUACUGUGGUCCAGAAUGGAAGCACCCCACUUCAAGUCAAUAAAAAUAGAGGGGAAAGAAACUAUUGCAACAGCUCUAAGACUUCCCCAUACCUCUGCUUGAAGCAGUGUUGAGAUAGAGAGACUCUAAAGUGCUUCAGAUGGGUGGGGAGCUACCAAUGAACAACUGAGUUGUCUUAGCCUUAACAAAAGGUGUGACAGUCCUCCCAUGACAUCUGGACAUCCCUUCCAGAGCAGACUCCUAAGGUGAUGCAAUCCCAUUCAAAUUGCAAAAGAUAAGAAGUUUUGUGUUGGGAAAAAUGGUAUUUAGGAGACAAAAUAGCUUUGGAAGUGUGAUGCACAGCUCAUCACUCCUCCCAACCCUGGUAUUAAUACCUUACAUCAGGGGCUGCCCCUCCACUGCCCCAGUAGGGGCAUUCAUGCUGCCUGAAUAAAGAAGGUUGGGAAGGUGUGGGGAAAUGUUCCCAGCUGCAUUUGCUUUGCAUAGCACUCUGGUAGAGAAGAGCAACAGAUACCUGCAGAGUAACCUCCCUUUUAGUUCUCUACCAUGGUGCUCUAGCCCCGUGUGCUGCCAGAAACACAUCAUAAUCCAAUGGGUGCUCUUGUUCUGCUUUCUUCUCCUCUUUUCUCUCCUCUGUGAAUGUGUUGGAAGUGUCUCUGCCCCAUCUCUACCAGGGAAUGGGCAUUCUGUUCCCCAGGGCCCCCUCUGUGUGCAGCAGACAGCAUGUGGCACCCAGAUCCUCCUUGCUGGUUUCUCAGCUAUUGCCCUUGAGAUGAAGAUGACAUGGAGAUAUAUCUUAAAAAUAAAAAGAGAGACAGAGGAAAAAAAAAAAAAAAGACAAAAUAAACCUGUUGUAUUACAAACAUGCUCUGAGAUCUUGAGAAAGAGGGUAGAAGACCAAGUUUUAAUAAUAAAGCAAGAGAUAUAAAUAAUUAAGAAGCAAUCUAUCUGUUUCCUGACAUCCUGUCGAAUGUUGCUACGUUGCUGUCUGCUGCAGGAGUCCAGCAUGGGACGCCAGUGUUUUCAGCUGCCUACCCCAGCAUCUCAGCCACAGCACAGCUUUAAUGAAAACGCCCUUUCAAAAGGGAAUGUGCAAAUUGAACCAAGUUUCUGAGAGGAGCCAGGUCAAAGGCACUGCUCCACAGCGUGAGGCGCCUUGCAUAAUUCCUGUCAAGUCAUUGCCCUCCUCCUCCCCAUCUGCUUCCCCACUCCCUCUGCCCCUGUCCUCUGCACACCCCGUCAGCAGAGUCCCCAGCACACCCCAGCUUUCCUCCCCUGGGGCUUCUAUAUGCAACGCUCAUUUGAUUACUAUGUAUGUGACCUCUCAUGUCCUCAAGCUAUUCGUGUGCUUUGGCUGAAGGGGAGGCUCAGGAGGGAGUUUCUGCCAGACAUCACUGACCUUUCCUGUGGCCCGAUCUUUAAGACAUUAAAAAAUCAAAGUGUUCUUUGCUAAUGAGCUGAUCCUGGGUUGGGUUGGAAGACUAAAUAAGUCAUCUCUACUCCUCUCUAACCCUCCCUCAACCCUCAACCAAUGGUGGACCGGAACUGUGCUGAGUUGCUGAGUAUUAGCACGUUGUCACAAAGCAAGGGACACAAAGCAAGACCAGGAUCUCCAUUACCAUCACCCGGAUCACUACCAGAAGGGCCUUUUUUCCCUCUCCUGUAGUAGUUAAUGCCUCUCAGCUCUCCCAAAACAGAAUGGCUGGGAUGUCAAGACACCUUGGCAUUAUUGUGAGGCAUAGGAGAAUGGGGGCUGGCCACGGGGACUUGUCUUGUGGAAGGAUGAAAAUGCCUCAUCUUCCUCAUGACCCUUCUUGAGGGUUUUACAUUGGUGUAAACAACGUCAGCUCUUUCAGAAGUGAAGGUAAACAGCAGAGGCCUUUGAGAAUGCUGAAAGUCAUUUAUGAAGCAAGAUGAGUCACUCUGUGUAGUUUGGGAUGUUGUAGCGCCACGUUCCCGUAAAUAUCCCCACCUAAUACUGUGGGCAUCUGAUGUCCUUUGUAGACCUGCAGCAAAUAAUAGCCAUUCACAACAAAUCCCAAAAGAUCUUCCAAAUUGAGAAAUCAAGUAACUUGCUCCCCAGACAUAGCAACUGCCAAGCAGGAGCUCUGUAAUUUCUGCAUCAUGAUGCCAGUGUCAAGGAGAUCAAGGACUGUGAUGGCAAAAAGGAUCCAAAUGUAAUACAGACCAUGGGGCUCUGAUGGCAAACACAGCCCUACCACAUAUUCCCCAGCUCUCCUCUUUGUAGGAUGCUGCUUUUCAGCCUCCUGUAAAAAUGUAGUUUUUUACAGGAUGGUGUUGUACGGAAUAAAAGGGCAAUUCUUCUUAUAUCUUCUUUGUAUGCCUCAUUUAUGGAUGGUCCUCUGUGAAGCCAGGAGUUGAACACUAUGAUUCCUAUGGGUCCCUUCCAGUUUGGAAGUUUCUUCUGAUGAAAGCACAUAUCACCCAUUUAACCCAACCACCCCAGGAUUUAAGAGGAACAGAUGAAACCCAUUUCAGAUCUGCAGGGGUGUGAGCAUUGCACGGCCUUUCUGGAAACUGCCCCUCAGCCCAUCAAUCCAAUCACUACAGCCCCUGUACUCCCCAUGAUGACACUGAGCAACACUGUGACCAGAGAACAUGGAGAGGGGGAAGCUAAAGCACUUCUUACAGUGCAGAAAGAUGCUGCAUUUGGAUGUCUCUUCCAGCUGCUGAGAGCCAAGUAUCCAAGUAUACCUCCUUCCUCCUCCUUGCUGUCAACACCUAGGAAGUGCCUUGAUUUAAGUCAUUACUGGAAAGCUUGUUUUAUCUUUGACACGUUCUUCCAAGUUGAUAGCUGUGAAAGGGAAAUUCAAACUGUAACUGUUCGGCAAUGGUAAUGUGCGACCAAUGAAUAAUCUGAGUGGAGAGUGAGUCAAUACGGGUGCAGAACAGGUUAAGGUGGGAACGGAAA